GUCUCGCCCCGGAUGUAGUUAAGUUGUCGUCAGCGGCGCGUUUUGUUUUGGUUGUUUGGUCUCGUUCAGACUCUUUGAGUUCACCGUUAAAAUAACCAGUUUAAAAUCCAUUGAAUUGAAGACCGGUUCCCGUGAGGGGGUAACGUUAACGUCGGGGUGUGUGUCGGUAAUAUCUCAGUCCAGUUUUGUCCGGUUUCUGUAACUCUCGGCCUGUUCGAUCACCAAAAUGAAGCCCCCUCCUCGCAAACGAUCCAAACCGGAGCGGACCUCGCUUCAAACGAAUCUGAUGCGGUCCGGUAAGUGGCAGAGAGGCGAGCUGAGGAGGCUGCUGACCGGACUGAAGAAGCUGAGCGGGAGCGGCAUGGAGCCCGGAGACCCCGACUACUCGGCGCUGAAGGGACACGUCAAAACCCGGUCUGUUACAGAGAUCCAGUCUAUGGUGGACUCUCUGAAGGACAGAGUGAUCUCCACUGUGAGCUAUAGGUACAGGAGGAGGAAACGGGAGGAGAGGAGGGUCAAAAAGCCGGUGGAGUUGUGGACUCACAUGGCUUCUUCUGUGGCGGGAACCCUCGAGGAGACGAUCAACACGGCCUUCGCUCAGAUGCUGAUCGUGUCGUCCACAGAGCCCCGCACUCUGAGGAACUCUGACCCCCCAAAAGUCCAGGCCCCAAACACAGAUCAAAGCAGACCCGCAGGUCGCACGGUCCCCUUCAGGCCGAUGCCUCGAUCAGCACCUGCACCAGGUGUGAGUCCUGGCCCCGUCAAAAGACUUCCUGCUCCACCACAAGUGGUUCGAGUCCCAAACAGCAAAGUCUCUCCACCCCAGACACAACCUGGAACCGAACCUGGAGCCCCGUCAUGUCAGACGGCUGCUGUCGCUCCACCCCAUUCGGGCUCACAGACGACUUCUGGUACCCCCAUUACUGGACCCAUCACACCCGCUUCAGGGGGUCAGAUUACCCACAAACCCUCAGAGCAACAAACCCCACUCACCAGUCCCCCCCUGCCCACACCCCUCCCUCUCUCAAGCCCGGCUGCCACCAUCUGUGCCCGGUUCGGUCGCACCAGCAAGUACGCAACCAAGGACAGUCCCAGGGUGUUGGGGGUUAAAUGUGUGGUUGACUUUGAGAGGAUCUACAAAUACCUGAGCGUCAUCCUGAAGCCUGACGAGGAGUGUCACCUCACCCCCAUGGAGGGCGCCAUCAUGCUGGAUCUUCUGAUGUCUCUCCCAGAGGAGCUUCCACACCUGGACUGCAGCAAGCUGAGUAAACACCUGAACCAGAAAAAGAAGCAUAUGAACGUGGUCAGGUAUCAGCCGGGAGCGCAACGGUCAGAAUCAGUCCGGCGGCGGAGAAAAAAAGCGCUCGUGGGGACCAGUCAAUCAGCUGCAGCCGCCAGCUGAGCGUCUCCACUGUGAGCAAUACCUUCAGUCAGCUGAUUCACUUUGAAACAUGCUUUAAACUUAAAACACCUCCCUGUUAGCUGAAAGAAAUAAGUCUACAUGAUGUUUGUUCCACGUGACAUAAAAUUCAAACAAAAAAUGUGUUAGAGUAAGUUCUUAACUUUGACAUCCCUUGUUUUCACAAAAUGCUUUUAUUUUGAAAUUGUGUCCAGUACAGUUAUUUGUUAAAAGAAUUUCCUUGCAUGGUGCUACAGUGAACUGAAGAAGUCGCUAGCUGCAGGUGUAUCAGAGUCUCUCCUCCUCCUCGCACUCAAAGAUGGCCAAAGACCUGCAGGAUAGACUCCCUCCUCGGACCGACUCACCGGCUGGUCCGGACACGGGAACACCAAACGCUCAGCAGAAUGCUGCCGAACCAGCUGACAAGCAAAGCGAGGAGGUCACACAGCAGCCGCACAAAGCUGAGAGCCAAUCAUCUGCGAGCAACACCCCAUCCAAUCAGGACACAGAAAUUACGGGGGUCUGUCCACCCCUCAACCCUUUCAUGGUGCCUCUGGAACUGUUGAAACGCAGAGUAGUUCAGCCCCUAAAUGAAUAAAUGUGCAAUAUGCUUGCAGAGCCAGGGAUGAACCUGGACACAAACCACAAACAAAAGUAAAGUUUGGUCGGAUUCAUCGUCUUGUUUUUUAUUUCUAUAGUUUCUUAUUUAAGUCAGAAUUAUUUCACUCAGUGUCUGUUCCCUUUCCUGUUUUUAUUUUGACAUGAAUAAACACUGAACCAAAGAGAA